UCCACACCUCGUUCCUCCGAUUGACGAGUUUAAAGGGGCUGUCGUAGCCCGCCGUGUAGUACGGCGUGUCCACAAACGGAACUCCGUCCCUCUGCAGGCUCUCCACAAGCUUAAGGAGCUCCUCCUGUUUGAGAUUCUCAUCGGAGAACCCCCCGUAGGUUCUGGUCCCAAAAGGUAAAAUCAUGAGAGGGUGUUGGAGGAGCUAUUGAGAUUUGGAGGUGAUUGUUCCUCACCUGAUAUACGCUGUGAACUCCUUCCUGUUCUCCACGAACACAUCCGGAUCGCUCGGUUCUGGAGGAUUGUCCUGAUGCUCCUCAGGGAUGUAGAAGGACACAGUGAAGUGGGACUCGCACGUGGGGCCAUCUCCGGGGUUCACGCGACACGUCACGGGGGCCGUCAUCUCCACUUUGACCUCUGAUAAAAAGCCAGACACAGCGGGAAAUGGCAUGAAGUUUAUGUCCGGAAGCGGAAGUCGUGGUCUAGGUACAGGUAUCGUUGGGAAGCUCGUGGCCAUAUUCCCAGUGGGUGCUGAUGGAUUAAACAACUCUGCGCACAAAGUUCCUGAAGGCCGUCACGUUUUCUGGCCGUGUGAUGUCGCCGUCGCCGUCCACGCCUCCUUCGCCUGGGACACGAGGAGGUCAAAGGUCAUAGCCGUAAGUCAUAGAAGUCGUGCCUGCAUUAUGGAGGGGGUUGGUACCAUAGUAGGGCUCAAACAACUCGCUGGGGGCGGCGAAGAAAUCCUCCAGUUUGAAGUCACAGGGUCCUCUCAACGUCAUGCCAAAGCCUUUGGCGUGCCAGCGUCUCUUCCACAGGAUGUACUCAGAAAAGCCGCCGGGCCCUGCGCACACGUCACCGAAGUACAAAAGCUUGUACUCGGAUUUAUUGAUCAGAGGCGUCUACAUGGGAGAGAGGGUGGAAAGUUUGUCUUGGU